GCCCCGGUGAUGAAAUCGGUAGACAUAGGGGACUUAAAAUCCCCAGGCGAAAGCCGUGCGGGUUCAAGUCCCGCCUGGGGCACCA
rnacentral:tRNA from 1 species